AAAGCACAUGAUAUGUGGUGUUAUUAUCAAAUUCAUGAGUGGUUCAACAUUGAAUGCUUCCAAGUUUUCAGCUAUGGACAUGAGUCUGUGAAAAACAGAGUUGGGGAGAGGUAGGAAGAAGGGGAGAGGUAAGAGCAAAUGAAUUAGGGACUUCAAAUAUGUUUGCAUUUCAGCCACAGUAUGAAUUAAGUUGUAUCUUAUUUUGAGAGAAAAAAAAAGACUUGCAUUUUGGUUAAAUCAGUUUUCCUUGGUCCCAAAUCAAUGCUUUAGAGCUUAUUGAGCGCAUAUGCUGACAGUGCAUUAUUCCAGUUCCUCUUCCUCUCUCCUUGUUCUUAGAAAUUUUGAUGUCUAUGUAUAAUAUUAUUUUACCUUCCUGGUUAAACUCAUUUUGCAAUUACACCCAGAUGUAUCCAGUCACUUUUACAAAGUUAGGUUCAGUUUGCUCAGAAAUUUGAAAUGAAAAAGGAGCACUUAUAUCAAGUUACUAGUAAGAGAAACCUCAACUGAAGUCAUGAUCCAGUUUGCUAAUCACUUCUGGGAAAACAUCUGAAUAAUAUGUCAGCUAGCUAAGCCAUCCAGCCCCCACAGAGAUAUUUCAGCA
rnacentral:lncRNA from 1 species